ACGCAUCACAAAGGCACUGUCAGAGGGUGGGGCACAGAGUGGAGUAUUUCUGCCUUGCCGGGGAGGGAAGAUGGCCUUUUGGGACGAGAUGGCCCGGUGUAGUGAUGAGGUUCGGUACCCCCCUCAAUGUGACCCCAAGCUCCAGUCAACAGGUGACACCAACUGGGAUUCCUACGCAACUACCAUGAAGACGGCAUUCACACCUAAAAGAGGGAUAGUGCCCGAUUUAAUACGUCCAAAGAGCACCAGAAGAUUAGGAUAUACUUACUCUCUUAGUGAUCCUAUCCUGAAUGAAACCCAAUACCAUGACGAGUAUACCUGGAAAUUACGUCCUAAGGAAAACAUGCUCAAGCUUGGAACUACAAGAGGAGUAAGGAACCAAAGAGCUCAUCUCGGUCAAGAAUUCUUUCCGUGGGAUCUCCCUAAAGGGAAAGAGCCCCCUUCCAUGGAAGGGGUAGAGAAAGCAAUAGCCAAUCAGUUUGUCUCCCGGACCAAGGCAGACUUUGUGGACCUGACUCAAGCUACGAAGCCCAUGAAAAAAUUUCCCAGGUCCCAGGACCGGAAAUCUCUCCUGCCCCAGUCUCUGAACACUGAGUUUCGACAAAAUUACCAAAUUCCAGCUAAGAUUCCAGAACUGCACGACCUUAGUUUCAAAUACGGAUGCUACUCGAGCCUGCCUGCUGCUUCCCAGGGUCUAGUGCCUUCUGUGCUACACAGUUAUAUUCGGAACCAGGAACGCACAAAGAAGCAGACCACGUACGAGAGUGACUACGGGAAAGCCUGCCUGGACUUCCUGACGAUCCUAGACUCAUUCUCCCCGAGUCAAAUCCACAAGUACCUGGAAAGUGUUUCCUACAAAGAUGCCUCAGGGCCAGGCUGUCUCUUCAGGAAGAACCAAGAGGCUGCCAGAAGCCUGCAGCACGAAAGUCCCUGAAGACACAAGCAGAAGCCAGAAAGAAGCCCACCAGCAAAGCCAGGCUGCCUUGCGAGCGCAGGGCUCAUUUUACCUUUAGGAGCCACAUCCCUUGGCCCCACAGUCGGAGUAAUUUUGUUCCCUGCAGAAGCGGUUGGUGUCUGCCUAGGGACCAAGGACUGGUCAUACCAGAUGCAGCCAUCAGACUGGACACAAUCUGAUUUCCUACACUCUGUACGUGAGCAAUCUUGGCCUUGCUCCCCAAGACCAAAAGCCAGGGACUCCUCAACUAACUGCUGUUAACUUGACAUCUGUUCUCCUCAGGAUAGAUGAACUUUCCAGUCAAUGAGAUUUUUCCAGCCGGUCAGGAUUACCUCUUCCAGAUACCCCAACAAACCAACAGUUCCUUCUCGGUUCCCCAGGGGAUGCACUGGAAGGCAGGUAGCAGGAGGCACGUGACCCAGAGCUUUGCCCGGCUACUGAAGAAGCCACGCCCCUCCAGCUUCGAUGCCCUCAUCCACGAGUUGGAUUUUGGGGAAGGGGCCAACUGGCAAGUAGGAGGUUCCCUAAAGCUUUUAUGCAGCCAACCUCCUGUCAUUGUCUAGUGUCAGAGAUGAUACGAAAUGCCAGUCAGCUGUGGACAAUGCCAGAAGCAUUUUCACAGUGGGGGUUCGGCUCGCUUUCAGACCGAAGAGACUGAGAUGUCUCAGACUCGGUUAUUACUGGCUUCGCCUUGGAUUGUCUCUCCUUGGUACGAACAUCUCUACUGUGAAAUCUGAAACCCUUCGAGCACCCACGGAACCACAAGUGAAAAAUUCCACACCUUACUUCACACCAAGUGUCACGGUGAAAGCACACAGGCAUGAGAAAAAUGUGCGUAAUUAUCCCGGGCUUGCAGAUACGAUUCAGAAGGGAAGCCGGUUGUGUUUGGACUCGGAUCCAAUCUCCAAGAGACCUUACCAUGCAGACCUCGCCCAUGUUCCUAAAUCCAAGAGAAUAAACUUGAAACAUGUUGAGGUCUGA